rnacentral:rRNA from 1 species
AUUGAACGCUGGCGGCAGGCCUAACACAUGCAAGUCGAACGGUAACAGGAAGAAGCUUGCUUCUUUGCUGACGAGUGGCGGACGGGUGAGUAAUGUCUGGGAAACUGCCUGAUGGAGGGGGAUAACUACUGGAAACGGUAGCUAAUACCGCAUAACGUCGCAAGACCAAAGAGGGGGACCUUCGGGCCUCUUGCCAUCGGAUGUGCCCAGAUGGGAUUAGCUAGUAGGUGGGGUAACGGCUCACCUAGGCGACGAUCCCUAGCUGGUCUGAGAGGAUGACCAGCCACACUGGAACUGAGACACGGUCCAGACUCCUACGGGAGGCAGCAGUGGGGAAUAUUGCACAAUGGGCGCAAGCCUGAUGCAGCCAUGCCGCGUGUAUGAAGAAGGCCUUCGGGUUGUAAAGUACUUUCAGCGGGGAGGAAGGGAGUAAGGUUAAUACCUUUGCUCAUUGACGUUACCCGCAGAAGAAGCACCGGCUAACUCCGUG